rnacentral:rRNA from 1 species
UACGGAGGGUGCUAGCGUUGUUCGGAAUUAUUGGGCGUAAAGAGCGUGUAGGCGGCCGGGUAAGUCAGAUGUGAAAACCCUUGGCUUAACCAAGGAAGUGCAUUUGAAACUCCCCGGCUUGAGUACGGGAGGGGGAAGCGGAAUUCCCGGUGUAGAGGUGAAAUUCGUAGAUAUCGGGAGGAACACCGGUGGCGAAGGCGGCUUCCUGGACCGAUACUGACGCUGAGACGCGAAAGCGUGGGGAG